AUUGAACGCUGGCGGCAUGCCUAAUACAUGCAAGUCGAGCGGACGAAGGGGGCUUUCUCCCCGCUGCAGUUGCGGACGGGCGAGUAAUUCCUACGAAUCUGCCUGACCUUUGGGAAUAAGGUCCCGACACGGGAGCUGAUACCGCACACGUCAUGAUGGUGAAACUGGGGGUUCUUUGGACCCAGACCUAUCAGCUGAGCCUAGGUCGUAUUAGCUAGCUGGUGGGGUAAAGGCCUACCAAGGCGACGAUGCGUAACUGAUCUGAGAGGCUGAUCAGACACACUGGAACUGAGACACGGUCCAGACUCCUACGGGAGGCAGCAGUGGGGAAUAUUGGGCAAUGGGCGAAAGCCUGAUCCAGCCACGCCGCGUGAGUGAAGAAGGUCUUCGGAUUGUAAAACACUUUUAUUAGGGAGGAAGGGCUGUGUAUUAAUCCAUGCCCGUUUUGACGGUACCAACAGAAUAAGCACCGGCUAACUUCGUG
rnacentral:rRNA from 1 species